rnacentral:rRNA from 1 species
UACGGAGGAUCCAAGCGUUAUCCGGAUUUAUUGGGCUUAAAGGGUGCGUAGGCGGCCUAUUAAGUCAGGGGUGAAAGACGGUAGCUUAACUAUCGCAGUGCCUUUGAUACUGAUGGGCUUGAAUGUAGUUGAGGUAGGCGGAAUGUGACAAGUAGCGGUGAAAUGCAUAGAUAUGUCACAGAACACCAAUUGCGAAGGCAGCUUACUAAAGUAUGAUUGACGCUGAGGCACGAAAGCGUGGGGAUCAAACAGG